ACUUAGUGUUCUUGGUGCAGAAAGGAGGACAUGUUAAGUGUGUGUUCUUCACCGUUGAUAUUUGUUUGCCAUAUCUAUAACCAAAUAUAUGGUUGAAAAAAACUAAAGGGUUGGGUAAUACUUCUUUUUUGGGCUACUCAUUCUGCAUGAGUGAUUAAUCUGAUUCCAUCUCCUACAUCGCUGCAUUCAUUCUGCAUGGGAGAUCGGUUGUUUCUCGCCGCAAUCUCUUUCUCAUGGCUUGAUGAUUCAUGUUUGCAGAUGAAAUUUUAUGUCCCAUAAAUGCUUUUCAAAAUGACUAAAUGAGGAACUCGACAGAAUUGCUACAUUAUAUCUUCUUAGCAGACUUCAACAAUGCAGGGUUCUCCAGGUUAUGAACUGGGGAAAUUUACAAGAAAUAUGUCAAUGGUCGAAUAUGUGGAGCUGUAAGCUGCUAGCAAAAAGACAAGUUUCGUUUUUGUUUUUUUCCAUUAUAUGUUAUAAGUCUCAUUCUCUCAGUUAAAUUAUUUUGGAGAUCAUUAAUGAUUUUAUAUUUUGUGUGAUCCAGUUAUCAAAAUUGAAUUUUGAUCCAUAUUUUGUUGAAAGUGGGAUUCUAUAUGUUUAAUGUUGUUAUAAUGUUUUUGAACUCGAA